UAUUGGGACCAAAUACAUGAUAACGGGCUAGAAAAAAGUAAGCAAGUGAGACCUCUUUUUCAUGAGGGGUCUAUUUUGCCCCCUCUUCCCCUAUUAUUAUAAAUUUGAUUUUUUUUUAUCAGAAAUUGUAUAAAUUUAAAUUUGUAUGAAAAUUAUUUAUACACAGAAAAAAUGCGUCUUGGCUGAAAACAUUUUUUAAUUUUGUUGGGGUAUAAAAAAAAUUUUUGAAAUGCCAUUAGAAGAAUUUUACGAAAAAGAGAACGAAGGGAAGAAAAUGAAUCCGUAAAAUUUUAAUUGAUAAUAAAUUUUUAUAAAAAAUAAAUUUUGAAAAUUAUUUUUGAAUUCUUAGUGAAAAAAAAUUUAUUUAAGAUUUUGAAUAUGCGAAUUAUUCAGUGGCGGAAAAAAAAUCUCAAGGAAUUGCCAGAAUGUUGUCGAUUACUUUCACGUAACAAUUAUCGAUUAGAACAAUUAAAAUAAUUAAAUAUAACUAUUACGAUAAAUAACCAUUUAAAUUUUGAGUAAAAAGUCGAGUUUCAAGUAUAGAGGAGUAGAAAUUCAUUAAAUAAUACACGAGACAUCGAUCGCUUCUAACAAAAUUCUUUGUUAAUUAAAUAAAUAAAAUCAAAGAUGUCCAAAUUUAUUAUUUUACUGCUGGUGUCCAUGUUGGUCAUAAAUAUUUGUGCUCAAGACUGUUUAGAAGCUGGACAAGAUUGUAAAGAAGAUAAGGAAUGUUGCAAGAAGAGGUGCGGUGAAGUCAAAGGGAAAAAAAGUUGUUCCCUAACAAGAGAAGAAAUGGAUCUACUGAGUCGACACAUAGAUGCUAUGGGUUAAGCUACGCCGUUAGAAAUUAUUUAUUUUGUCUAACGGCACCCCCUAAAAAAUGAAAUUUUCAAUCUUCUUAGUGGGAAGUUUAAAAAAAAAAUUCUGGAUAUCAAAUAAAUUUAAUUAAAUUAAAUUUUUCUGUACACGUAAUUAACAUAU